AGGAUAUAGGCAACGAUCGAUACUUGAUAGAAGACAUGACAAGGCUCCCUGACUUACAUGCUUGCCCCUGGCUGUGAUGUCACACGGACAUUGCUUUGGCGCCAGCUCAUUCCACAUUCUGGAAGUGUGCACUGGUGCAUACCUAGACUUGAUUGCCAGUUGCUCUACUCUAGGUGUUGGUUUAAUACUAAUACCUUGUCUUCAAACUUUAACCGUGGAAAUUAUAUGGCUCAUGCACAGACUCCAUGCCCAUCGAGUUGCAUUUGUGAUCAGCCAACACAUUGUAAAACUGAUAAACUUGUGCUCGAUCGCCUCCAAGAAGUAGAAAUUAGUGAAUUAUCAGGAACUGAACAUGAAUGUGAUUUUGUGCAACGGCUAUUCAGUUGGGCAACAACCUUAAAAAAGUUGACAAUAUCUUUUCAUCACUCGAUCACGAAAGCAAGGCCAAGGGGUUGUUCCAGAUGUUAUGAAGCUUGUCCACAUUGGAACUAUGUAUUGAAUUUUAUGUGCAC